UCCGGGGGGGGCAAGCGUUGUUCGGAAUUACUGGGGGUAAAGGGCUCGUAGGCGGCCAACUAAGUCGGAUGUGAAAUCCCCAGGCUCAACUUGGGAACUGCAUCCGAUACUGGAUGGCUUGAAUUCGGGAGAGGGAUGCAGAAUUCCAGGUGUAGCGGUGAAAUGCGUAGAUAUCUGGAGGAACACCUGUGGCGAAAGCGGCGCACUGGACCACAACUGACGCUGAGGCGCGAAAGCUAGGGGAGCAAACAGG
rnacentral:rRNA from 1 species